CGCCGCCCUUGCCGCCUCAGGAGCGGCGGGGAGCGGCUGUGGGGCCGCGCGGGGUGUGUGCGCCUGGCUGUGAGCGUGUGUGUGUGUGUGUGUGUGUGUGCAGCGGGCAGCCAUGCGGCGCUGGGGGCUCCUUCUCUUGCCGGCGCUCCUCGCCGGCCUGGGCUCCGUCACAGGCCAAGAUGACUUCUCUUUAGAUGAAGCACUUUUGGAAGAAAAUACAAAGAAGCCUCCUGUAACUCAGAAGACACCAUCAUCAGGUGCAGAUGAUUUUGAUUUGUCCGAGGCGCUUGAUUUUGGUGAUCCCAUGCCACAUCCUUCUGCAAAUCCUAGAGACACUGAUAACCCCAAGCAAGAUCAACCUAAAGGCUCUGACAAAUUUGAUGAUUCAGAUCUAUGGGAUGGCAGUUCCCCAAGAGGAGGAAGUGAUGGCAGUGGCAGCAAUGCUUCUCAGGGAGCAAUAGCUGGAAUUAUAAGUGCUGUAGGUGCUACAGUAGUUGCAUCGGUAGCUAGUUUCAUUGCUUACCAGAAGAAGAAACUCUGUUUCAAGCAAAGCGGUAAGAGCUCCAAAUUAGUUUUGUUUCCUACUGUCUUAAGAGAGGCAUUUUUGUAUUUAUAUGUGGACUAUAAAUUGAUCCUAUGCACAAGGUAGUUGUAAUAACCCAGUGAAGUUAGGUUUACAGGGAGUAACCUUUCCCACUAGUCAUCUAAGACUGAUGAAUUCCUUGCCCACAAACUUAUUUUUCUGGCUAAAAAUAAGCAGGAGAGACUGCAAAAAAUACUUUUUAAGGAGAAUCAAGUGAAGGUUGGGAUUAGAGAUUUUUCAUGCCGAA
rnacentral:lncRNA from 1 species